CGAGGCUGCGGGAUGAGUUCAAUAUGCAUAAUUGUUUCAACUUUCAAGGAUCACCAAAAGAAUGAGAAAACCCACACAUUAAACCAAAGAUGAAGGCAAAGAAGACUAUAAUGUUUUCUUUCUCUGUUUCUAUCUGCAGCCAGUCAAUCUGUGUUUUUCUCCUUCCAUUUGUGUUGCUCAUCUUCUUUCUUCCGCCAUCUUCACCAGCUCCUCCCAAUCACAAUGGGCUUCACAGGGACUCGCAGUUGCUAUUAUCCUUCAAAGCUACCAUUUUUAACCAAAGCCCACUUCAAAACUGGGUAUCCUCCAAAAAUCCCUGUAGCUUCACUGGCAUUACAUGCAAAGGAUCAAGGGUCUCUUCUAUAAAUCUCACAGACACUAUGCUCAGCAUAGAUUUUGGCUUGGUUUCUACUUACUUGCUCAGUCUUGAAAACUUGGAGAAUCUUGUGUUGAAGAACACCAAUCUCAGUGGCUCUCUCACAUUUGCCUUAAAAUCCCAAUGCUCUGCUUCUCUUAGCUACAUAGAUCUAGCUGAAAACUCUAUCUCAGGGCCUGUUUCUGAUAUCUAUAGCCUUGGUCUUCGGUGCUAUAAUCUCAAGGCCCUCAACCUUUCCAGCAACUCCAUGGACCCUCCUGGGAGGGAGGUUUCUGCGGGUGGAGCAACCAUUAGACUUCAAAGUCUUGAUCUUUCUUACAACAAAAUUUCAGGGCAGAACAUAUUUGGUAUGGUGUCCCCCAGUGAUUUUCCUGAUCUUGAGUUGUUGUCUCUUAAGGGUAAUAAAUUAUCAGGAAAAUUUUGGGUAUUGAGUUUUAGGAAUUUGUCAUAUUUGGACCUUUCUGCCAAUAAUUUCUCUGAAAAUUUCCCUCCAUUUCAAGACUGCUCUAGUUUACAACAUCUUGAUUUAUCAUCCAACAACUUCAGUGGUAAUAUUGAUGCCUCCCUUUCUUCAUGCUCCAACCUCAGUUUCCUCAAUCUGUCCAACAAUAAACUCUCUGGUGAGUUGCCUGUUGAAACCCUACUAAAUUUGACUAGCUUGAAGACAUUGGUUUUAUCAUUCAAUAAUUUUGUUGGUGGCUUAUCUAAGUUAUUUUCUAGCUUGGUAAACUUAGAGACCUUAGAUUUGAGUUCUAAUAACAUCUCUGGUUUGAUACCCUCUGGGAUUUGUAAAGACCCUAAGAAUAGGUUGAAGGUGUUGUACCUUCAGAACAACAUGUUCACUGGUCCAAUACCUGAGAGUCUAAGUAACUGUACCCAAUUGGAAUCUCUUGAUCUUAGCUUGAAUUACCUUAAAGGGAAGAUACCAUCAAGCCUCGGGUCCUUGUUGAAGCUCAAGGAUUUGAUCAUUUGGUUGAAUCAGCUUGAAGGGGAAAUCCCAAGGGAGCUAAUGUACUUGCAGUCUUUGGAAAAUCUGAUUCUUGAUUUCAAUGAAUUGUCAGGGUCAAUCCCUGAAAGUCUGAGCAACUGUACUAAUUUGAAAUGGAUUUCUUUGUCGGAUAAUUUGUUGAGUGGUGCUAUACCAGCUUCAUUAGGGCGCUUGUCUAAUCUAGGCAUUCUGAAGUUGGGAAACAACUCCAUCUCUGGGAACAUACCUGCUGAGUUGGGGAAUUGCAGCAGCUUGUCAUGGUUGAAUCUGAACACCAAUUUCUUGAAUGGGUCUAUUCCACCUGCUCUGUUCAAACAAUCUGGCAAGAUUGCAACUGAAUUACAUACCGGGAAGCAAUUUGGGUAUUUUCGAAAUGGUGGAAGUGAGCAGUGCCACGGUACAGGAAAUUUACUCGAAUUUAGUGGGAUUACACAGGAUCGCCUGGACAGGAUUUUAGCCAGGAACCCCUGCAAUUUUACUAGAGUUUCAAAACAAAUAUUUGACCAAUACGGAUCCAUGAUUUUUCUUGACCUUUCUUACAAUAAGUUGGGAGGCAGUAUUCCGAAGGAAUUAGGUUCCAUGCACAAUCUCAGUGUUCUGAAUUUAGGGCAUAAUGAUCUCUCUGGUCCAAUACCUCAAGAACUUGGAGGCUUGGAGUAUGUUGGGGUUAUUGAUCUGUCACACAACCAACUCAAUGGCUCAAUUCCAGAAACUUUGAACAACCUCUCAUUUCUUUCGGGUAUUGAUCUGUCUAACAACCAACUUUCUGGAAUGAUACCUUGUUCAGGUCAAUUAGCAACAUUUAUUGGAGAACUGUUUGCGAAUAAUUCUGGCCUUUCUGAUUGCUAUCAUCCUCAUUAUGGCCGAGAAUCAAGUUCAAGUUCAAGUUCUAAGCCUAGUAGAUCAAAGAAAAAGCAUUACAUCAUUAUACCUUGUGCUGUAAUUGCAGGAGUACUUAUUGGGUUAGUAAUUCUGUUACUUGUGUUCAGACGUGGAGUGGAAGGGAGAGAGGACAAUGAUGAAGAAGAAUGGAGUAUGAUUUCAUUUCAAAGGUUGGAAUUCAGUAAAUGGGAAAUCUUGGCCGGUCUGACAGAUGAAAAUUUGAUUGGAAAAGGAGGGUCAGCAAAAGUAUAUAGAGUGAUCACAAGGCAAGGCCAAAGUGUUGCAGUUAAAAGUAUAUGGGAUGAACGAAAGCCAGACCAUGGGUUGGAGAAACAAUUCCUAGCAGAGGUUAAGAUCCUUGGGGAGAUUAGGCACUACAGCAUAGUGAAACUGUUAUGCUGCAUCAAAGGAAAGAACAAAAGGCUUCUUGUGUAUGAAUACAUGGACAAACAAUGUCUUUAUAAAUGGUUGCAUGGAAAGAAGAAAGGCUUAACUACACAAGUCUUGCAGUGGGAGACAAGGCUAAAAAUUGCCAUUGGAGCUGCACAGGGGCUUUGCUAUAUGCAUCAUGAUUGCAAUCCACCCAUUGUUCAUCGAGAUAUCAAGUCCAGUAACAUACUUGUGGACUCUGAAUUCAAUGCCAAGAUUGCAGACUUUGGACUGGCUAAGAUUUUAGCAAGUCAACGAGAUCCAGAAACAGCAUCUGCUGUUGUGGGAACCUUUGGUUACAUUGCCCCUGAGUAUGGCAACACAAGAAAAGUGAACGUGAAGAGCGACAUUUAUAGCUUUGGUGUAGUACUCUUGGAAUUGGCAACUGGAAAAGAAGCGGUUACUAGGGAUGAGGACAUGAACCUAGCACAAUGGGCACACAAACACCAAAGAGACGGAAAUUCAGCUGUAGAUGUCCUGGACAAGGAGAUUAAUGAUCCACGUUAUUUGGAGGCAGCAACCACCGUUUUCAAAUUAGGCCUUGCGUGUACUUUGAGUUCACCUUCAAGUAGGCCAUCCAUGAAAGAUAUUUUGCAGAUUCUUCAAAGAUGUAGUGAGAAUAGCCAUUUGUUAUCACACAGCUGAUGCAUGUACAAGACAAACAAAAGCAUUGUAACAAGAAUAGGUUUCAACCCUCUUUCGCCUCUUCAUCAUGCCUUCUUAUUCCUCAUCCUCCUUUUCUCCCAAGCAAAUUCAGAAUCUUCAACCACUGAAAGGGCUAUUUUACUUAGCCUAAACCAACACUGGGGAAAUCCAUUUGACGAAUG